rnacentral:rRNA from 1 species
UAGAGGUGUGGGAUGAGCCCGCGGCCUAUCAGCUUGUUGGUGGGGUGACGGCCUACCAAGGCGACGACGGGUAGCCGGCCUGAGAGGGUGUCCGGCCACACUGGGACUGAGAUACGGCCCAGACUCCUACGGGAGGCAGCAGUGGGGAAUAUUGCACAAUGGGCGCAAGCCUGAUGCAGCGACGCCGCGUGGGGGAUGACGGCCUUCGGGUUGUAAACCUCUUUCACCAUCGACGAAGGUCCGGGUUCUCUCGGAUUGACGGUAGGUGGAGAAGAAGCACCGGCCAACUACGUGCCAGCAGCCGCGGUAAUACGUAGGGUGCGAGCGUUGUCCGGAAUUACUGGGCGUAAAGAGCUCGUAGGUGGUUUGUCGCGUUGUUCGUGAAAUCUCACGGCUUAACUGUGAGCGUGCGGGCGAUACGGGC